rnacentral:lncRNA from 1 species
UGCUGUUAAACAUACUCAAAAUAGCUGAGAGCCAUAUUAAAAAGGAAAAGACUCUAGUUCUUCUUAUAGGUAAAAUCUCUAAGAAGAAAUCAGGCAUAAAGGGUUCAAAGAAACCAUUAAACCCUAAAGGUGGCAAGAUGAAGAAUAAGGGGAAGAAAGCCUCCGGACAAGAUACCUACUUUCACUAUAGCAAGGCAGGACACCGAAAAAGGAAUUGCAAGUUUUAUCUUGCAUC